UACAGAGGUCCCGAGCGUUGUUCGGAUUCACUGGGCGUAAAGGGUGCGUAGGCGGCGAUGAAAGUUCGAUGUGAAAUCUCCGGGCUUAACCCGGAAAAGGCAUUGAAAACUAUGUUGCUUGAGGUUUGGAGGGGGGAUCGUAGGAAUUCUUGGAUGUAGCAGUGAAAUGCGUAGAUAUCAAGAGGAACACCAGUGGCGAAGGCGGGUCCCUGGACAACACCUGACACUGAGGCACGAAAGCUAGGGGAGCGAAACAGG
rnacentral:rRNA from 1 species